GCUUGAAUUUGGACUUUUGCAUUACGGAUGUUGUAUAGAAAUUCAAAGUUAGGUGGAUGGAAACUGAAUCUGGUGAUGCAAAUUAUAGUGUAGAUUCACAUGCUUGAUAGAUGAUUUUUGCAUAAGAUAACAUGUAAAUUAAGGCUGCAUGUUAUGCAAUUCCGUAAUGCAUAUUGGUACUCAGAAUGCAGAAAAAAAUUCAGUUGGAAGUCCUUACUAGCAUGAUAUAUAGUGUAGAACAGUGGGAAAUUGAGAGAAUACAUGGUUCUUACAUUUCUAGUUGGCUAGGAAGAUAGGCCUUUAUUUUUGCUGUUGAAGGUGAAGACUACAAACACUGAAUUUAAAGAUCAUUAACUUAAAUUUAUUCUCAUUCAACUUUGCAGUGGAGAAAAACUCCUUUUUGUAUGAGCAAAUUUUUAAUUUGAUCACUGUACUAAUAAUUUUUCUUUUUUAUGUCAUGAUAGCUCUCCACUCAAUAGUUUCCCCAGUCUUACCUACCUAAUGCAUGUUUAGUAGGAUGUAAUUGAAAUAUGAUGAAUGAAAAUUCAGUGGAACAAUGAGCUGAAAAUUCAUUUCAUUAUGUAAUGGAAUGUGCUUGAAAUUUUUUUUUGUAAGAACAUGGCAACUGGUGAUAUGUACUACCUUAUUCCCACAUGUUUUAUUUUGAUUCUUCUAUGACCUCUGAAAAUUUGUCUCCACAAUAUUUCAGUUUCAUCCGGGGAAGAAUGUGGGGCUUGGCAAGGAUCACACUAUUUUUUCCUUGAUUGACGGACUUGUAAAAUUUGAGAAGUUAGGACCUGACAAGAAGAAGGUGAGUGUUUAUCCACGAGAAGUUCAGCCUGAGAAUCCCAACAGCUAUCGAGCACGGAAGAGAGAGUACUUUAGGUUGCAGCGCGAACGUAAGAAGGCAAGAAAGGAAGGCAUUGUUCCGGAGCCGCAACUCGUCCUUGCUUCCAAUGUUGAUGCCACAAAUAACAACCCUAUAUGUUGAUUUGAAAGCAGCCUUAUUUUUUAGGGUAUUUUUAUGUUGGCAAGCCAUGCAAUAUUGUUUAGUUGACUGGCUUUUUUUUUUUUUUUUUUUU
rnacentral:misc_RNA from 1 species